AUUGAACGCUGGCGGCAGGCCUAGCACAUGCAAGUCGAGCGGAUGAAGGGAGCUUGCUCCUGGAUUCAGCGGCGGACGGGUGAGUAAUGCCUAGGAAUCUGCCUGGUAGUGGGGGAUAACGUCCGGAAACGGGCGCUAAUACCGCAUACGUCCUGAGGGAGAAGGUGGGGGAUCUUCGGACCUCACGCUAUCAGAUGAGCCUAGGUCGGAUUAGCUAGUUGGUGGGGUAAAGGCCUACCAAGGCGACGAUCCGUAACUGGUCUGAGAGGAUGAUCAGUCACACUGGAACUGAGACACGGUCCAGACUCCUACGGGAGGCAGCAGUGGGGAAUAUUGGACAAUGGGCGAAAGCCUGAUCCAGCCAUGCCGCGUGUGUGAAGAAGGUCUUCGGAUUGUAAAGCACUUUAAGUUGGGAGGAAGGGCAGUAAGUUAAUACCUUGCUGUUUUGACGUUACCAACAGAAUAAGCACCGGCUAACUUCGUG
rnacentral:rRNA from 1 species